GACGAACGCUGGCGGCGUGCUUAACACAUGCAAGUCGAGCGGUAAGGCCCUUCGGGGUACACGAGCGGCGAACGGGUGGGUAACACGUGGGUGACCUGCCCACCACUUCGGGAUAAGCCUGGGAAACCGGGUCUAAUAUCGGAUAGGACCUCCGCAUGCACGUGGGGUGGGGGAAAGGUUUUCGGUGGAGGAUGGGCCCGCGGUCUAUCAGCUUGUUGGUGGGGUGAUGGCCUACCAAGGAGACGACGGAUAGGCGGCCCGAGAGGGUGAUCGGCCACACUGGGACUGAGACACGGCCCAGACUCCUACGGGAGGCAGCAGUGGGGAAUCUUGCGCAAUGGGCGAAAGCCUGACGCAGCAACGCCGCGUGGGGGAUGACGGCCUUCGGGUUGUAAACCUCUUUCGCGAUCGACGAAGCUCGUACUUCUGGUACGGGUGACGGUAGGUCGAGAAGAAGCACCGGCCAACUACGUGCCAGCCGCCGCCGUAA
rnacentral:rRNA from 1 species